rnacentral:rRNA from 1 species
CCUACGGGGGGCAGCAGUGAGGAAUAUUGCGCAAUGGGGGCAACCCUGACGCAGCGACGCCGCGUGAGUGAGGAAGGCCUUCGGGUCGUAAAGCUCUGUCAAAGGGAAAGAAAUGUAUAAUGGCUAAUACCUGUUAUAUUUGACGGUACCCUUAAAGGAAGCACCGGCUAACUCCGUGCCAGCAGCCGCGGUAAUACGGAGGGUGCAAGCGUUGUUCGGAAUCACUGGGCGUAAAGGGCGCGCAGGCGGUUUGGUAAGUCAGAUGUGAAAGCCCACGGCUUAACCGUGGAAGUGCAUUUGAAACUGCCAGACUUGAGUACCAGAGGGGAAAGUGGAAUUCCCGGUGUAGAGGUGAAAUUCGUAGAUAUCGGGAGGAAUACCGGUGGCGAAGGCGACUUUCUGGCUGGAUACUGACGCUGAGGCGCGAAAGCGUGGGGAGCAAACAGGAUUAGAUACCCCUGUAGUC